UACGUAGGGUCCGAGCGUUGUCCGGAAUUAUUGGGCGUAAAGGGCUCGUAGGCGGUUUGUCGCGUCGGGAGUGAAAACACGGGGCUUAACCCCGUGCCUGCUUCCGAUACGGGCAGACUAGAGGUAUGCAGGGGAGAACGGAAUUCCUGGUGUAGCGGUGAAAUGCGUAGAGCUCGGGAAGAACAUCGGUGGCGAAAGCGCUCUACUGGACUGCAACUGACACUCAGGGACGAAAGCUAGGGGAGCGAAUGGG
rnacentral:rRNA from 1 species